rnacentral:rRNA from 1 species
CCUACGGGCGGCAGCAGUGAGGAAUAUUGGUCAAUGGGCGUAAGCCUGAACCAGCCAAGUCGCGUGAGGGAUGAAGGUUCUAUGGAUCGUAAACCUCUUUUAUAAGGGAAUAAAGUGUGGGACGUGUCCUAUUUUGUAUGUACCUUAUGAAUAAGGAUCGGCUAACUCCGUGCCAGCAGCCGCGGUAAUAUGGAGGAUCCGAGCGUUAUCCGGAUUUAUUGGGUGUAACGGGUGCGUAGGCGGCUUUUUAAGUCAGCGGUGAAAGUCUGUGGCUCAACCAUAGAAUUGCCGUUGAAACUGGGGGGCUUGAGUAUGUUUGAGGCAGGCGGAAUGCGUGGUGUAGCGGUGAAAUGCUUAGAGAUCACGCAGAACCCCGAUUGCGAAGGCAGCCUGCCAGGCCAUGACUGACGCUGAUGCACGAAAGCGUGGGGAUCAAACAGGAUUAGAUACCCGGGUAGUC